GGCCGUCUAGCUCAGUUGGUUAGAGCGUCGUGCUAAUAUUGGUUAUGUCUCCCGAAUAUACGCGAAGGUCUUGGGUUCGACCCCCACGAUGGCCA